GAUUAGCCACUUGACCCCUUCUAGAAGUGGUGAGAUAUAUGAAGUAGUCCUUUAUUUUGGGAUCAUUGAUAUCUUACAAGACUAUGACAUUAGCAAGAAGUUGGAGCAUGCCUAAAAACCCUAAAAAGCCGAUCCUACCUCAAUCUCAGCAGUAGAUCCAAAACUAUACUCAAAGAGAUUCAGAGAUUUCAUUGGGAGGAUAUUUAUAGAAGACAGGUAGCUAUGGGG
rnacentral:misc_RNA from 1 species